rnacentral:rRNA from 1 species
GACGAACGCUGGCGGCGUGCUUAACACAUGCAAGUCGAACGAUGAAGCUGGAGCUUGCUCCGGUGGAUUAGUGGCGAACGGGUGAGUAACACGUGAGAAAUCUGCCCUUCACUCUGGGAUAACUGCGGGAAACUGUAGCUAAUACCGUAUACUUUCCCUGGUUGGCAUCCACUAGGGAAGAAAGAAUUUCCGUGAAGGAUGAUCUCGCGGCCUAUCAGCUAGUUGGUGAGGUAAUGGCUCACCAAGGCGACGACGGGUAGCCGGCCCGAGAGGGUGACCAGCCACACUGGGACUGAGACACGGCCCAGACUACUACGGGAGGCAGCAGUGGGGAAUAUUGCACAAUGGGCGAAAGCCUGAGGCAGCAACGCCGCGUGAGGGAUGAAGGCCUUCGGGUUGUAAACCUCUUUUAGCAGGGAAGAAGCGAAAGUGACGGUACCUGCAGAAAAAGCACCGGCUAACUACGUGCCAGCCGCCGCCGUAA